rnacentral:lncRNA from 1 species
GCAUUUCCAGUUUUGGUCUUUGGUAAAGGUCCAACGCAGUCAAUUAGAACUCUGCUGAAAGGUUCGUCAAAGGCUGGAAUAGGCAGAAGUGGUGCUGGUGGUAUUUUCUGGUUAGGCUUACCAACAACCUGGCAUAUAUGGACAUGAUUUGCAGUAUUCUGCGACAUCAUUUCUAAGUCUUGGCCAGUAGAAAUGCUGCAAGAUCUUAAGGCAAGUCUUCCUUAUACCUAAGUG